rnacentral:lncRNA from 1 species
CCUUGUGAAUGUCGCCAAGGAAACAAAAACCUAGGAAGAAAAAACAGAAUAGAUGGAUGGCUUCCAUUCUUGCACUUGCACUAGAGUCAAUAAUAAAAUAGACGGAUGGCUUCCAUUCUUGCACUUCACUAGAGUCAACAGUCUCCCACUUGCACUAGAGUCAAUAAUCUAGUUACAUUGUGAUGAAUCAAACACCCAUAGAGUUCUGGUGUUGAUCAUGUUUUGCUCGUGGAAGAGGCUUGUGAUUGAAUUAGCCACCGCAAAUUUGUUAGGGAUUGUUGAUUUCGACCACGGGGUAGCCACAAAUAAAAUUAGAUACUACACCAAAUAUGUGUAUAAAUCAAUCAAAUAUUAUUAAACCCAAACAUUUAAGGAAAUAUAAAUAAUUGACAACAAUCAUUCUAUAGUCUGUACACAUAAAUACUUCAUCUAGUUUGAUCUCGGCACCAAAGGUUAAUAAUUUUCGCCGCAUAUGAUUUUCCGUAAUGAUAUUGCCUGGUUGCAACUCUUUGUUCCCCCUUAGUGCAGGUCUGCCAGCACUUCGGGUUUGGAAACUGUUUUGAAAACUUGUGUCACAUAUGGAAAAAGGGCUUAUAGAUGAAGUCACAUUAGUGGCGGGGACCAUUUAGCACCCGCCACUGUAAUAAAAAAAUAUAUCAGGGGCGGGUGCCAAAACACACCCGUCAUUUCUAUUGGUGUUGUCAUCCUAGACGGCAAUCACCUAUACGAUGUGUCAAAAUCUCGAGGAGUGGCGGCACCGAAGUCAGUCUCGCCACGGUGACAGGACGAGCAUCGCCUCGACUCAUCGGCCUCGAUCACUUGGGCGAUGGCCCAUAGACUAUUGCGUCAGCGUGGAGGUAGAUGAAGAAGAAUUAUUUGACAAGAAGGUGGUCCGAGAAGUCCAUCCCCAGCAACAAAAAAAUGAACCAAGAACGUUACAGCGUUAUGGCUUUAUGACAAUGCUUGUUAAAAUGCAUGUGCGGAUCGCGUAAUUUAAACGCUAAGACAUACACAAAGGUCUUCUCUGCCCUGUCACUGCCAGCCGUACACCAAAUUAAGCGUCUGUAGUCUUCUCGGUUAGGCCGAUUACGCUACUUGUUGAUGCAUUUACGACUUAUCUGGCUUGUGUCAUAGUCAGGUAGAGAUUUUUCCGGAGUAGAUAUGGAAUGUGUAGGAGUAAGGCUGGAAAAAGAGAUAGGUGCAAGUGAGGCGGUAGGCCUCUCCCUAGUGUGUAUGUGAUGCUUAAGCGCCCUACACGCGACCUAGGCGGCAAUACAGUUUUUACUAUCAUAGUAUGUUUGCGGUAUUAUAUGUAUCAAUUAUUCAGAGCAUAACAAUAACUAAAUUACCCGAUCCUACAAUUGCAUAUUGCCUAUUUGGCAUAUUAGUGAAAUAUGGCAUGAUUUCCCGCCCGGGUAGACAAUUUAUUGCUUGCCCCACCUAGUCUUACACAUAUGACCUAGGUUAGGCAUUUGGACAUCGUCUUGUGCCUAAGCAUGCCUAAACGCUUCCUAGGCACUGCCUUUUACAAUAGAGGCAGGGACCUUAUUGGAGGUUGGGCCACAGGUUGGAUAGCAACAUGGACGCUGAUUAGAGCAAACGAGGAGGAGAAGCUCUGUCUGCCAUCUCAGAGAUGACCACUCACUCUCGUUUCUUGUGACAAAGCACUACAGGCCCGUCGCGUCGAAGAANN